GAAUGCCUAUGUAGUGUCUGCCUCACUUUUUGGCUCGAAAUGAGGAAUGUUUUUUUAUCUCGGUGAUGAUAAUGGUGAGUAGUGGAUAAGGUGAGAGUGACUGGUGGUAGUCUUUGUUGUGCCACCUUGGUGGUAUUUGUGUCGGUGUUUCUUGUGGAAUUCAGUAGCGGCCGUAGCGUUUUGGUGGUGGUGGUGGUGGUGAUGGUGGUAGUAGUAGUAGUAGUAGUAGUAGUAAGUUCCGGUUUGUGUUAGUAGUGUUUGAAGUUGUGGUGGUAGUAAUAGGUCUUGUUUAUAAGUUAUGCGAUCGUGGUGCUGGUGCUGGUAGUGUUGGUAGUUAAGCUAUGGUUGUGGUUGAAGUAGCAUCGGUGAAGGCUGUUUGCUGUGUUGCCUGUAGUGUUGUUGUUGUUGUUGUUGUUGUUGUUGUUGGUGGUGGUGGUGGUGGUGGUGGUGGUGGUGGAGGUGGAGGUGGUGACGGCGCUGUUGGUUGUUUUGUUUGGAAACUGAUCAAGGAUGAGAACUCACCACGUGAGAAAAGAGAGAGAUUCUCGCAACAACGGCGAUAUUACGCAAUACAAGACACGCAAACAGUCUAAAGCACGCUUCCUCACUCUGGAUAUGCCAAGGUACCAUCCUCAAAAACAGGAAGGUAAACAAAAAUACAUUCCGACCAACGACGAUGUUGUUUAAACGGUCCGUCGACCUGCUAGAAAAUGCAGCCAAAUUCCAAUCACCUUGCACUCAGCAACCUUCGAACGGAAAGAAUCAUUGGAUAAUAAAUUCCUGGAUGGACUGCUUCAAUUAUCAGACUGGAUUAUCACAGAUGGAACGCUUUUUGAUCAUCAGACUUCUCAGUUAAGUCUGACUCGGUGCUAAGCAAUAAUAACAAAUUAAAACAUUUUUGAUGUGAUAUAGUAGUUAAUUUCUCGUUCAAUCAAGAUCAUUAUUAAUAUAUCACAAGUUUUUUAAAAAAUGUUAAAAAAAACACAAAAAAAACGAGGAAAACAGCAAAAACAGAAACAUCAUCAUCAACUACCAGAAUGAAAAUUUUGAUUGAUCGAUCGAUCUUUUAAAUCAAUCGAUGAGUUAAUCAUUUAAUCAAUCAAUAAACUGUACUCCAGCCGUUAAGCAGAUUCUCCUAUACAAUGCGCGUGUUGUGUGUGUGCUUGCAUAUAAAGAUGAUUUAAACAGAAAGAAUGUGAUCCCAAACAAUGUAUAUAUGCAUGAUGAGGAGGAAGAGGAAGGAAUGAAGGAAGGAAGAGGAGGAAACAUUUACUCCCACACCAGGCCCUGAUCGGUGAUUCCAACUAAGACGCUCUAGUCACGACCAUCCUGUCCUCUGAGGUGUCCUUGCCUCUUUAUUUUUGACGGCACUGUGUAGUUUGAAGAAGAAUUAGCUACUGUUUCUAGUAGGUCGAGCAACUAACUAUGUAAGAGGCUCGAGUUGUGAUCGAUGAUAGUGAUGAUGAUGAUGAUGAUGAUGAAUUUGGAAGAAAAAUAUCAUAACAGCGAGUCAUAUAUCCAGUCAAUAUGUAAAUGACAGAGAUUUCGCUUUAGAGUCCCUGGAGGGAUGAUUCAAAUAGACUAACUCCUGUGAUAUUUGAAAUCAGAAUAAGAAGGUAAACAGAUGGAACUAAAGAUAUUCUAACGAUUUUGGUCAAGCUGAAAUUCAACUGGGUUGCCAACAACCCCUUUCUGAUGAUAGCGGAUAGUCAAAUACUCACACACACACACAUAUAAAUGGACAGUCACUUGACAAGAGAAGUAACUAAAUAAUAAUAAUAAUAAUAAUAAUAGUCUCUUAUUUAGGCACAAGGCCCACAAUUUUGAGGGGAGAGAGUUGGGUCAAUUACAGCGACCCCAGUACUUAACUGGUACAUCAUUAUCAUCGAUCCUGAAAGGAUGGAAAUCAAAGCUGACCUCGACGGGAUUUGAACUCAGAACAAACGAUGCCAAAAGAAUCAGUCUGACUGGUGAUGCUAAUGGUAAGUAAACGAUCUUGUGUGUGUGUGUGUGUCUGUGUGUAUACACACACACACACUAAUUCUUUCUCUCGCACUUAUUAAGUCAGUGUAUGUGCGUGUGCGUGUGUGUGUGUGUGUGCGUGCGCGCAUUCAUAUAGGCAACAUAAAUAACUUAAAUUCAUUAUCGACAAUAGGGAGGGGGGACGGGAAGAGAAAGCGAGAUGAUGGCAGUAGUUUUCAAUGGGGAAAGAAUUAAAACAACUGUGAUGGGGAUUCCGAAAAAUCACAGUGAAUAAGCCAUUUAAACAAGAUAAUGAUGAACACAUAUUUAUACAUGCUUAGACUACUGAAUCGAUAGAUAGAAAGAUAGACAGAUUGACAGACAGAUAGAUAGAUAGAUAGAUAGAUAGAUAGAUAGAUAGAUAGAUAGAUAGAUAGAUAGAUUAUAUAUACAUAUACAUCCACACGCACAUAGAUAUUUUGCGUAUAUAUAAUUAAUGUGCGUGUACAUUUGUGAAUGUACGUUGCCAGAGAGAAAAAUAUGAAUUGCACAAAAAGCCAGAGAGAGGCGGGAGGAAGAGAGAGAGAAAAAAGUGAGAAUGAAAGAGGAAAAAGGAACGCAAAUAAGAGAGAGAGAGAGAGAGAGAGAGAGGAAUAAGCGGAAAAAAAAAAUGGCUAAAAAUGUAAGGUUAUCUAUAAGAAUUACAACGAAAACGGCAGGAACGGUAAAAACAAGAGCCAAUUCCAUAACACGACACAGCACAUACACACAUACAUACAUAUAUAUAUAUAUAUAUACACACAUACGACACAUACACAGUACACAGAAUUAUAUAUUUAUAUACAUAUAUACAUAUAAACGUGUGUGUGUUGACUUACAGAUGGUAAAAGUAAGGUAACUGCAUAUUCCUGAGGGUACGAAUGUGUAUUGUAUUUUUUUCCCUUUUGUUCUGCUAAAAUGUUAUGUUUAUAUAUGUUUUUUUCUUCUUUUAAUAUAUAUAUAUUUUAUGUAUUAACCAACCAAGUGCUUUGCCGGUGGACACCCCCGUUUUUCUAAAAGUACGCGCUGGUGUCAGCGGCGACAACAGCGGGGACCGACUGGGAGUUGCGGCCGUAGGAGCCUUACUACAACAAACGAGAGAACAACCGAAGGUAGGGGGAAAAACACUUAGAGAGAGAGAGAGAGACAGAGAGAGAGACAGAGAGAGAGAGAGAGAGAGAGACAGAGAGUAUGUGUGUGUGUGUGAAAGAGAGAGAGCAAGAAGUAUCGAGGAAACAGAGAUAGAGAGAUAGAGAUUGAUAAAGAAAAAGAGGAAGAGGAGCAGAGAGAGAGAGAGGAGUCUGUUGAACAGAUUUCAGAUACGAAAGAGAAAGCGAAUCGAAGAUAGAGAAACUGAUGUAGAAAGAUAUAAAGAGCCAAUGUAAGAAGAAGAAAAGAUAGAGUAGGAUAUACGUGUAUAUGAAAAAGACCAGAAGCUGUAUUUAUACUAAUUAUAUUUGAGUAGAGAUGAGGAAGGAAAAAGCGAGAGACACAACGAAAAAGGCAGUGACAUAGAGAGGCAGGAAGUCACAGAGUAGCAGUAGUAGGAGGAGGAAGACACAUCGCUCUUACUCUUUCUCUUUCUCUCUCUUUAGAUAUAUAUAUAUAUAUAUGUGUGUGCGUGCGUGUGUGUGUAAAAUAUGUAUAAAGAAAAGGGAGAACGACAGCAAGAGAGGAGCAAAAUUGAAGGUGAGAGUUGUAGCAGGAGUAGUAAAAAAAAGGUGCGUGCGGAUCGGUUGGUAGGUCGGCUGGUCGUUCGGUCGGGUGGUUGGUGGGCUGGUUGGUCGGUAGGUCGGUCGGUCGGUCGGUUGGUCGGUCAGUCUUUAUUUUCACCACUAUAGACAGACAGACAGACAGACACUCAAAACACGCAUUUACAUACAUGCAGACCAGAGAGUUAACAGGAGUAGUGGGAAGAGGAGGAGAAAAAUAUGAAGCGAGGAGAAGGCGGAGUAACAAAACGAGUCGUGGUGAGAGAGAGAGAGAGAGAUAAUAUGGAAAAGAUGGAGAGAGAUAGAGAGAUGAGGACACACACACAUAUAUAUGUAUAUUUAUAUACAUAUAUAUGUAUAUAUAUGUAUAUAUAUGCACACACGCACAAAGAUUUAAUAAUGAAGAUAAAGCGACUGUUGGAAAAUCAUUCGUGUCAGUUAGUUUAGGAGAAGUAAAAAGGAAACGAAUAACGAGAGAGAAAGAGAGAGAGAGAGAGAGAGCAAGAAAUAUGUGUUGAUUGCGUAUAUAUACAUACACAUAGAUAGAUAGAUAGAUAGAUAGAUAGAUAGAUAGAUAGAUAGAUAGUUUAUGAAUAUACAUGCGAGGAGUAAUUAGAAAUCUAUAUACAUCCGCACAGAUUCAUAAUUAUAAAAUUAUAAAUUGAUUAUAUACUACAGAUUUAGCGUAUGUGUGUGUGUGUGUGUCUGUGCCUUAAUGAAAUCACAGCCUCUUCUCACACUGCCUCAUUUCACACACACACAUUGUACCUUUGGAAUCAUCAAAGUGGUAGAGAGAGUUGAAAUGAGAGAGAAAAACAUCGAGAGAAGAACGUAGAGAGAGAGAGAGAGGGGGGAGAGAAAGAGAGAAACGCAAAGCGAAAGAAACGAAAAUAGAAUGGGUUACAUACACACACGCACAUAGAAGCAAGAUAUAUAUAUAUAUAUAUAUAUAUAUAUUGCUUCAAUGUGCGUGUAUAUAUAUAUAUAUAUAUAUAUAUAUAUAUAUAUAGAGAGAGAGAGAGAGAGAGAGAGAGAGAGAGAGACAGAUAGAGAUAGAAAUUCACAGAGAGAGAGAGAGAGCAUCUUACGUGCAAGAGUCAACUAUUUUAGAAAUUGUUAACAAACAUGAAUUGGAAGAAAAUAUUAGAAUUAGAAUAACAGUAAUUUCUUUCAACUAGAAACGAUUCAAUUCUUUUUAAAGGAGAAGCAAGGAGUGGGAUACAUUCCAUUGAAUCUACCCUGGUACAUGACUGGUAUACCUUCUUCAUUUUUAUUUCUAUUUUUUUUUUUGUGUAUAUAUUUUAUUGGAGGGCUGGGUAAAUAGAAUGAUUUGGUUUAGCGCAAAUCUUCCUUUCUAAUUUUUUCUUUCUUUUUUUAGGUCGCAAAAUGUUAAAGACAAAUGAAUCGACCUUCAUUAUUGCAGACAGUUAUCUAUUAAUUGAAUGCAGACCAAAAAUUGGAAUGAAAAAAAAAGUAAGAAAGCUGAUUCCCAGUGUAACUCGAACUUAAACAAGAAAUUCAGAACCGUAUGAUGUAAAUAUGAUUUAAAAAAAAAAAAAAAGAAAAAUGAAAAAUAUGUAUUGAUGAAAAAAAAAAAGAAAAGAAAAAAGAAAAAAAAGAAGCGUUCAUUUUGCUUCUUUUUCGAAGAAUGAUAUAUCAAUGGAUUUCUUACAUUGGCACAGUACCAGGGAUUUGUAUAAACGAUGGUACUAGCGAUCUGCAAUUCUUUAUACCUGGACCGCUAACCACAACAAGGAUUUCUUAUAGAAAAGCACAAGGCCAAAUGUUUGUAGGAGGUUGCAGUCGAUCAUAUCGGCUGCUGCCUUAUUACAAUCGACCCUGGAGGGAUUUAAAAAACUGCACAAUCAAGCCCCGGCUAGGAGAGAACGACUGUGUCACUACAUAUCACAAA
rnacentral:lncRNA from 1 species